AACGUAGGACGCAAGCGUCAUCCGGAGUUACUGGGCGUAAAGCGCGGGCAGGCGGUUACUCAAGUCUGAUGUGAAAGCGCUUGGCUCAACCAAGCGAUGCCAUUGGAAACUGGGCAACUGGAGUCUGGCAGAGGUAGGCGGAAUUCCGGGUGGAGCGGUGAAAUGCGUAGAUAUCGCUUGGAACGCCAAAGGUGAAGACAGGUCGCUGGGGGUGUGCCGACGCUGAGACGCGAAAGCCAGGGGAGCAAACAGG
rnacentral:rRNA from 1 species